GCGGCCAUGACCCUGCUGGAGUGCGGGGGGGACCUCCAGCCCCCCGGGGGGUCCCUGACUCUGCUCUGCCGCGGGUCUGGAUUUGAUUUCGGGAGUUACAGAAUGCUCUGGAUCCGCCAGAGCCCUGGGAAGGCGCUGGAAUGGCUCGCGGGGAUCCAUCCCAGUGAUGGCAGCACCGUUUACGCGCCGUCAGUCAAGGGUCGGUUCUCGAUCUCCAGGGACAACGGGCAGAGCUCGGUGACGCUGACCAUGAACAACCUCAAGGACGAGGAUUCCGCCAUUUAUUUCUGUGCCAGAUCUGGUGCUUAUGAUGGUGCUGGUAUUGGUUCAGACCUUUAA